rnacentral:rRNA from 1 species
GUCCACGCCUAACGAUGUCAACUGGUUGUUGGGUCUUCACUGACUCAGUAACGAAGCUAACGCGUGAAGUUGACCGCCUGGGGAGUACGGCCGCAAGGUUGAACUCAAAGGAAUUGACGGGACCCGCACAAGCGGUGGAUGAUGUGGUUUAAUUCGAUGCAACGCGAAACCUUACCCACCUUUGACAUGUACGGAAUCCUUUAGAGAUAGAGGAGUGCUCGAAAGAGAACCGUAACACAGGUGCUGCAUGGCUGUCGU